rnacentral:rRNA from 1 species
AUUGAACGCUGGCGGCAGGCCUAACACAUGCAAGUCGAACGGUAACAGGAAGCAGCUUGCUGCUUCGCUGACGAGUGGAGGACGGGUGAGUAAUGUCUGGGAAACUGCCUGAUGGAGGGGGAUAACUACUGGAAACGGUAGCUAAUACCGCAUAACGUCGCAAGACCAAAGAGGGGGACCUUAGGGCCUCUUGCCAUCGGAUGUGCCCAGAUGGGAUUAGCUAGUAGGUGGGGUAACGGCUCACCUAGGCGACGAUCCCUAGCUGGUCUGAGAGGAUGACCAGCCACACUGGAACUGAGACACGGUCCAGACUCCUACGGGAGGCAGCAGUGGGGAAUAUUGCACAAUGGGCGCAAGCCUGAUGCAGCCAUGCCGCGUGUAUGAAGAAGGCCUUCGGGUUGUAAAGUACUUUCAGCGGGGAGGAAGGGAGUAAAGUUAAUACCUUUGCUCAUUGACGUUACCCGCAGAAGAAGCACCGGCUAACUCCGUG